ACCAAUAAAAAUGAAUAAAAAAGUAAAAUUAAAUUCAAAGAAACCGACCGAAAAUGGUGAAAAGAAAGAACCACCGAGUAGAGCUCGAUCGAAUGAGUUCAAAGAUCUACCGUUUAUCUCUGAACAAGACUGGCAAGCACGGGAGCUUCGUCACAUGCAGAGGAUACAAGAUGUGAAAGUCUGCCUGAGCUUUAUAACGGAGUCAAUUGAGGAUUACAACAAGCUGCAGUACGAGCAGAGUAAGGCGCUGGCAUGGAAGCGCUAUAUCGACUGUGAUGGCCUGCCUCGGGUAUCUGACCCGCCUGAUAUUCGUAAAAUGAUUGCCGAACUGAAUUAUUUCGAGGAGUUGGAGACGAAGUCGACGGUCAAUUGGGAACUGGCUGUGGAUGAACGCUGCGUUCUCUCGCAGAGCAUCUUCCGGCAGGAUCUGACGCGCCAGACACUUCAGGAGACACUUCGGCCCAAUAUCGGCAAGUUCUUUGAGGAGGCUGUGUCACGUAUACUCAUUACUCUCGAACGCAUUGAAUGCAUGCUAAACAACGAGCACGACUUGUGUAAUCUAUCAACCGAACGAAUCAUUGAAGUAUUAUGUGUGCGUCCAGAACUGAGUCGGGAGAUCGAUGUGUUCUUUGAUAAGCUCACCUACCGUAUUGUUUCAGCACCGAGUGCCUUCAGAACGUCAUACGAUGGGAUAAAGGAAACCUAUUCCUACAAUUGUCCCAAUUUCAAUUAUCAAGUCUGGUGGCUUAGCGAUGUGCCCGUGCGCUUCGAGUACAUGGAACUACCCCUAAUAGUGGCCGAUUUGGACAGUGUGGGCAUCCAGGUGCAGAUACCGCUUAGUGUUUUAUGUGACAAUCUAACUCUGCGCUGUGUCCACACCCUUUUCGAUCAUUUGUCGGAGGAAGCGAAGAGCUAUGAGCAGGUCAUCGAUGGAGUGGUGAAUAUCAACGGGGGCAUAAUGGACAUCGACGAUUGUCUGGUCAACGAAUGGCUGAUGCAGCUGAAUCUUGUCGACAAAAUAAUAUCAGCAUUAGAGCAAAGGUUAACCGAAUAUGAGCAAUAUACGGCAGAGGUGGCCCAAAAAGAAGCGGCAGCACGGUUAGUGGAAAAAAGAGCGAACAAAUCUAGGAGCCCAAAAGAUGCUAAGUCAAAGCGCUCUGAGCAACGCUUAUCGAAAAGGAUUUUAAGGGAGCCUGAAAUGAUACCAGAGGGUAUGUUUCCUGAUCCCUUACAGAGGUUUAUCGAGCAAGAGCAACAGGAGUUUGACGAUUUUUUAAAUCAGUUCCUAAAUCCACAAAAUUUGAAAUUGGCUCCUGAUGAGAUCAAUUUACGACAAUAUAAUAUUUUGGGAGGCCUCUAUUCGAUGCACUUUGUGCGAAAGCCCAUGCACAAGGAAUUUGAAAAGUUCAAUAUAACCCUGCACGAGGAUGGACGAAUACUAUAUACCCAGCAAGAUGUGCGAGCAGAUGUCGGCAGUCGCAGAUCUACGCGUCUUAAGUCACGAUUUAACUAUACCCAGGCAAUGGAAUCACCGGAGAAUCGACACCUAAAACUGGCCCCAGAUGAGGUUUCAUAUUUCUGUGUGACCUUCCGACUGCCAAAGAUGCUGUGUCUAUUCGGGGAGCCCGUGGUAUGUCAGUUUUUCGAAGAGGAGAUUGACGAUAAUGAGUCAGACGAGGCUUCGAUUGGAGCUGGAGAAGUCUACAAACACAAAAAGAAACAUAAAAAACGUUCAACGUCAAAGACAGGUCAGGAAAUUGGGAAGAGUAAAAAGAGAACAUCGGGGGGCUUAGACGAACGUAUACCCAGACCUAAUAUGACGCUCAUUAAGCGAAAGUCGAUGAAUGUUAUAAAUAUCUAUCGUCCCUCUGUCAUAAGUGUACUUCGUAACAACGUUACGCGCUUCACGAAAAACAUUGGAGGCGAAUUGCAUGACUUUGAAGUGGACGGUAAGCAGGGAAAGCCUCUGACUCCCCUUCAAGUCCAUGAGCUGGUACGAUGUUGUAUACCUCGUGUAUUGUCCUCGUUCAAGUUUCCGAUGGAGUUCCGCUUGGAGCGAACCGAAGAAGUGGCCGAGAGAGCUGGGCGUGGCUGCACGCUGUUGCGUCGGCAUCACGCAGAGGCCAAGGUGGUUGAAGUAGACAAGCAACCAGAGUUUUUCAGCUAUGAUAAGCAGACAGGGCCCGAAAGACUAUUUCCCAUUUUCGAUCAGGAAAGGCCAUCGAUAUCUCUCGAAACUCCCGCUGAAGACUCAGAUAUAGAUUUGUUGAAAAGCAAACACGUGAAAGUCCGCCGUACAAGCCAAACACAGGAUGCGACGGAUCCCACACUCACGUUGUUUGGGAUAAUGCACACCUUAGAUGAAAUUGAAAAAAAGUAUAAGACCCGUACAAACGCAAUAAUGGAUCAGUCUUUUGGCACUAAGGGUUUACGGCUAGCCCAGUCAGAUAUGCGGACAAAGUCAUAUUCAAAUCGCAUGUCCGUAAUGAACAGUAAACCAAUGUCAUCCCUAAAGAUUUCACGAUCGUCCCACUCGGGUCAUCUUUCCAUUGAUUUACGGUCAGGGAGCGAAACAGAUAGCGUAACCUCUAACGAUUCUGAGACCCCCAAAAAAUCAAUUAAGGAGUCCCUGAGGCCAAAAAAAGAGCUACCCAAAGUGAAGCACUGGACCACUAGAUACAUAAAACACACCGAGUUCUUACCGGAAUCUUGCACACUUAAGAUACAAACAGAUCGAUUGGGCGUAUUUGGGUUUGCAUUCAAAAGUUACGAGCACUUUCCCUUCAAAGGAUGGUCCCUGCAGUACAACAAGGAUAAGUAAGUGAAGUUGGGAAACUAGGAAACUGUAUAUUAGAGGAUAUUAGCAUUGCCGAUUAUCUGUCGAGUUUUGAGACCAUACAGUAUCAACGAAAUCAUCUUUACAUUGGACACCUAUCAUGUGCGCGUCGUCCUGUUUAUAACCAACGCGGGCAUCCGG
rnacentral:misc_RNA from 1 species